GCAGCACCGUUCACCGAGGGCCGAGGAGGGGUCCCCAGGAGUCGCCUCUCGGUGAGGCAAAGAGGCUGAGGGAGUCCGGUACUGGGCUCCACGAAAGGCUGCCACCUUCCAGCCUGGUCUCCCGCCUUUCUUCUCGUCAGGGACACGCAAUUCCGUGGCCCCGCCGGGUCAGAAUGUGUGUCCGCGCGCUGGGCUCCUGCGCGGUGCUCCGUGGCACCCCCCACCAAGCUGUGGGCUCCCUGUACCGUGGGCUCUCCACACUCUGAUCCCUCUUGCUGUGGACUUUGAUGCCAUGUUCCUUCUCCAACCACGCCGGGGCACCCAGCUCUCGGUGCUCCUGCAGAAACCGGAUGUGACCUGGUGUGUGAGAUGGCCACGCUCAGUGGUGAACGAGAGAUCUGGACCACCUGGACAUCCCACAGACCGUGACACUGAUGCAUGACAGUGACAGCAUUGUGCUGAUUGGGCAGGACGAGCAAGAGGAAGCCAGUGUGCUGGAGACCUUGGCAUGAUAUGUGCAUCCCAGACGGUGGGAGAUAAACCCUAUGAAGUCUUUGGGACAUGAGCUUCAGUGGAGUUUUAGGAGUCUAGUGGUUAGGGGCAGGCUGGGACAUCUCUGAAGCAAAAGGCACAUUUCUACAUCUCGUACCCCCUGCAACAAAGAAGGAAACCUGGUACCUGGCUGGCUUUUUUGGGUUCUGAAGGCACUAUAUUUCACUCUUAGGAGUAGUUCUCUGACCCAUGUCCCAGGCGACAUGAAGGCAGCUAGCUUCGAGGGGCCCAAGCCAGGAAAUGUCUGCAGCAGAUUCAGGCAGUGGUGCCAGCAGCCCUGACCCAUAGGCCACGUGAUUGGCACUCUGUGGGCUUGGAGGUGCCAGUGGUGGGAGCAGAUGCCUUACGGAGUCUCUGAGCUGGCCCCUGGGGCCUGAAGCAAGGCUGGGCUAUUUGCUCCGAAACAAAGAACACACACCUUUAGGGAAAGGCUUCAUGCCUCCUGAGUAGGAGGAGCAGCCCACCUCUGCACUUGGUGGGGACACAGGAUCUGGCUUUGGGUUGGUCCCACCAGGGGAGCUGGGCACUCUGGGGCCUUGCUGGGAUGCUGCUGUUCCUGCUCCCUCCCCUUGUGAAGGGGUCCCACCAUAAAGGCUGUCAGCACGCGGCCCCGUUUUGUUGUGCUUGUUUCCCUCUUCAGGUAGCUAUGACAGCAUCUAUUUUGCAACAGCGACACACCGCCCAAGGAGCAUGCUGCACACCAGACAUGGCACGUGUAGCUCCUGGAGACCCUUGUGCUACCACGUGAGGAGGCAUAACCCUAUCCUCAUAUGCAGGAGAAACUGAGGCCCGAUCGCUGAAGUAACUUUCCCGAGACUUCACAGUUCGCUGGCUUGGCUUGUCAUCUGUUAUGGGUUAAAUUAUGUCCUCCCAAAAUGUGUGUCAACUUGGCUAGGCCGUGAUUCCCAGUAUUGUGUGAUUGUCCACCGUUUUGUCAUCUGAUGCGAUUUCCCGUGUGCUGUGAAUGUUACCUCUGUGAUGUUAAUGAGGUGAGAUUAGUGGCAGUUACGUUAAUGAGACAGGACUCAAUCUACAAGAUUAGAUUGUGUCUCGAGUCAAUCUUUUUUGAAAUAUAAAAGAGAGAAGUGAGCUAGAGACAUGGGGACCUAAUACUACCAAGAAACAGGAGCCAGGAGAUUGGCGUGUCCUUUUGACCUGGGAUAUCUGCUCUGAGAAGCUCCUUGAACAGGGGAAGGUUGAAGACUAGGACCUUCCUCCAGGGCUGACAGAAAGAGAAAGCCUUCCCUGGAGCUGGUGCCCUGUAUUCAGACUACUAGCCUCCUAAAAAACUGUGAGAAAUACAUUUCUCUUUGUUAAAGCAAUCCACUUGUGUUAUUUCUGUUAUAGCAGCACUGGAUGACUAAGACAGCCUCUCCAUUGUGUUGUAAUGCUCUGAGGGCAAGGACCUGCCCUGACCCCUUGGUAUCUACAGGGCAGCCCCUGGCACAGA